AGACGGAGGGUGCAAGCGUUAAUCGGAAUUACUGGGCGUAAAGCGCUCGUAGGCGGCUUGUAAAGUCGGAUGUGAAAUCCCCGGGCUUAACCUGGGAACUGCAUUCGAUACUGGGCAUCUUGAGUAUGGUAGAGGGAAGUGGAAUUUCCGGAGUAGCGGUGAAAUGCGUAGAUAUCGGAAGGAACACCAGUGGCGAAGGCGGCUUCCUGGACCAAUACUGACACUGAGGAGCGAAAGCGUGGGGAGCAAACAGGAUUAGAAACCCCGGUAGUCC
rnacentral:rRNA from 1 species